UACAGAGGGUGCGAGCGUUAAUCGGAAUUACUGGCCGUAAAGCGCGCGUAGGCGGCUUUGCAAGUCGGGUGUGAAAUCCCCAGGCUUAACCUGGGAACUGCAUUCGAGACUGCAUUGCUAGAGUAUGGGAGAGGGAAGUGGAAUUUCCGGUGUAGCGGUGAAAUGCGUAGAUAUCGGAAGGAACAUCAGUGGCGAAAGCGACUUCCUGGACCAAUACUGACGCUCAUGUGCGAAAGCGUGGGGAGCAAACAGG
rnacentral:rRNA from 1 species